UAGCAAGCCCUCCCUCAGAGGCCAAGGGAGCAGAAGAGCCAUGGAUGGGCCCCUUCCCAGGACAGCAGGGGUAGAAGUGGGAGAGGUGAGCAUUUGUGACUAUUCUAUUACUCUGACCUCCCAGGACUGGACCUACAGAGACAUCUGGGAUUUUCUGCGUCAGCUGUUUGUCCCAUACUGUAUCCUGUAUGACCGAGGAUACACAUCACUGGGGAGUCGGGAGAAUACCGUGCGGAACCCAGCCCUGAAGUGCCUGAGCCCAGGAGGACACCCCACAUACCGUCCAGCCUAUCUACUGGAGAACGAAGAAGAGGAGCGGAACUCCCGCACAUGACCUCCCACCCUAGGAGGGAGGGAAGGACGCUGUCCUAGAGUAUAACCUGGCAAUAAACCGUGCCUCUCACUGUG
rnacentral:sRNA from 1 species